CCUACGGGGAGCAGCAGUGGGGAAUAUUGGACAAUGGGCGAAAGCCUGAUCCAGCCAUGCCGCGUGUGUGAAGAAGGCCUUCGGGUUGUAAAGCACUUUCAGUGGGGAAGAAAGCCUUGGGGCUAAUACCCUCGAGGAAGGACAUCACCCACAGAAGAAGCACCGGCUAACUCCGUGCCAGCAGCCGCGGUAAUACGGAGGGUGCGAGCGUUAAUCGGAAUUACUGGGCGUAAAGCGCGCGUAGGCGGUCUGAUAAGCCGGUUGUGAAAGCCCCGGGCUCAACCUGGGAACGGCAUUCGGAACUGUCAGGCUAGAGUGCAGGAGAGGAAGGUAGAAUUCCCGGUGUAGCGGUGAAAUGCGUAGAGAUCGGGAGGAAUACCAGUGGCGAAGGCGGCCUUCUGGACUGACACUGACGCUGAGGUGCGAAAGCGUGGGUAGCAAACAGGAUUAGAUACCGUGUAGUC
rnacentral:rRNA from 1 species